CCUACGGGGGGCAGCAGUCGAGAAUCAUUCACAAUGGGGGAAACCCUGAUGGUGCGACGCCGCGUGGGGGAAUGAAGGUCUUCGGAUUGUAAACCCCUGUCAUGUGGGAGCAAAUUAAAAAGAUAGUACCACAAGAGGAAGAGACGGCUAACUCUGUGCCAACAGCCGCGGUAAUACAGAGGUCUCAAGCGUUGUUCGGAAUCACUGGGCGUAAAGCGUGCGUAGGCUGUUUCGUAAGUCGUGUGUGAAAGGCGCGGGCUCAACCCGCGGACGGCACAUGAUACUGCGAGACUAGAGUAAGGGAGGGGGAACCGGAAUGCUCGGUGUAGCAGUGAAAUGCGUAGAUAUCGAGAGGAACACUCGUGGCGAAGGCGGGUUCCUGGACAUUAACUGACGCUGAGGCACGAAGGCCAGGGGAGCGAAAGGGAUUAGAUACCCGGGUAGUC
rnacentral:rRNA from 1 species